AGAGUUUGAUCCUGGCUCAGGAUGAACGCUGGCGGCAUGCCUAAUACAUGCAAGUCGAACGAGAGGAAGGAAAGCUUGCUUUUCUAAAUCUAGUGGCGAACGGGUGAGUAACACGUAGGUAACCUGCCCAUGUGCCCGGGAUAACUUCUGGAAACGGAUGCUAAAACCGGAUAGGUAGCAGACAAGCAUUUGACUGCUAUUAAAGUGGCUAAGGCCAUGAACAUGGAUGGACCUGCGGUGCAUUAGCUAGUUGGUGAGGUAACGGCCCACCAAGGCGACGAUGCAUAGCCGGCCUGAGAGGGCGGACGGCCACAUUGGGACUGAGACACGGCCCAAACUCCUACGGGAGGCAGCAGUAGGGAAUUUUCGUCAAUGGGGGGAACCCUGAACGAGCAAUGCCGCGUGAGUGAGGAAGGUCUUCGGAUCGUAAAGCUCUGUUGUAAGAGAAAAACGGCACUCAUAGGGAAUGAUGAGUGAGUGAUGGUAUCUUACCAGAAAGUCACGGCUAACUACGUGCCAGCAGCCGCGGUAAUACGUAGGUGGCGAGCGUUAUCCGGAAUGAUUGGGCGUAAAGGGUGCGUAGGUGGCAGAUCAAGUCUGGAGUAAAAGGUAUGGGCUCAACCCGUACUUGCUCUGGAAACUGAUCAGCUAGAGAACAGAAGAGGACGGCGGAACUCCAUGUGUAGCGGUAAAAUGCGUAGAUAUAUGGAAGAACACCGGUGGCGAAGGCGGCCGUCUGGUCUGGAUUCUGACACUGAAGCACGAAAGCGUGGGGAGCAAAUAGGAUUAGAUACCCUAGUAGUCCACGCCGUAAACGAUGAGAACUAGGUGUUGGGGGAAUAACUCAGUGCCGCAGUUAACGCAAUAAGUUCUCCGCCUGGGGAGUAUGCACGCAAGUGUGAAACUCAAAGGAAUUGACGGGGGCCCGCACAAGCGGUGGAGUAUGUGGUUUAAUUCGAAGCAACGCGAAGAACCUUACCAGGCCUUGACAUCCCUUGCAGAGGUAUAGAGAUAUAUCCGAGGUUAUCAAGGAGACAGGUGGUGCAUGGUUGUCGUCAGCUCGUGUCGUGAGAUGUUGGGUUAAGU
rnacentral:rRNA from 1 species